rnacentral:rRNA from 1 species
UACAUGCCCUGGUUAAUCGGCUCGCAAGGGCCGAUUGCACUUAUUAGACCAAAAUCAACCGCUCGGGCAACCGGGUGCUGAGAUUGGUGACUCUGGAUAAUUUUACUAGAUCGCACGGCCUUUUGCGUCGGCGACUCGCCCGAUUGGUGUCUGCCCUAUCACACUAGAUGGUAGGUUAAUAGCCUACCAUGGUGAUAACGGGUAACGGGGAAUCUGGGUUCGAUUCCGGAGAGGGAGCCUGAGAAAUAGCUACCACAUCCAAGGAAGGCAGCAGGCGCGCAAAUUACCCACUACUGAAACAGUGAGGUAGUGACAAUAAAUAACGAUGCGGGACUCAAUCGAGGCCCCGUAAUCGGAAUGAGUACACUUUAAAUCCUUUAACGAGGAUCAAUUGGAGGGCAAGUCUGGUGCCAGCAGCCGCGGUAAUUCCAGCUCCAAUAGCGUAUAUUAAAGUUGUUGCAGUUAAAAAGCUCGUAGUUGGAUCUCGGGAUUCGGCCGGCUGGUCUGCCUUUUGGUGGACCGGCUGGCUGGCCUGUUCAAUUGCCGUGGACAGUUUGGGUGGCCUUAAUUGGUCGCUCACUCUGCCCGGCGUGUUUACUUUGAGAAAAUUAGAGUGCUCAAAGCAGGCAGACAUGCCUGAAUACUGUUGCAUGGAAUAAUGGAAUAGGAGUUUUGCUCCUAUUUUGUUGGUUUAAUGGAGUAAACUAAUGAUUAAAAGGGACAGACGUGGGCAUUCAUAUGCACGGGCGAGGGGUGAAAUCCUGUGACCCUGUGCAGAUGACCUACAGCGAAAGCAUUUGCCAGGAAUGUUUUCAUUAAUCAAGAACGAAAGUCAGAGGUUCGAAGACGAUCAGAUACCGUCCUAGUUCUGACCAUAAAUGAUGCCAUCUAGCAAUCCCAGUAGCCUGCUCUGUCGGGCAUGGGGGCGGCCCCCGGGAAACCAAAGACUUUGGGUUCCGGGGGAAGUAUGGUUGCAAAGCUGAAACUUAAAGGAAUUGACGGAAGGGCACCACCAGGAGUGGAGCCUGCGGCUUAAUUUGACUCAACACGGGAAACCUCACCCGGCCCGGACACUAUGAGGAUUGACAGAUUGACAGCUCUUUCUUGAUUUGGUGAUUGGUGGUGCAUGGCCGUUCUUAGUUGGUGGAGUGAUUUGUCUGGUUAAUUCCGAUAACGAACGAGACUCAACCCUGCUAAAUAGAACACCCCUGAUAUUAUCAGGGGGUGAUGACUUCUUAGAGGAACUAACGGCGUAUAGCCGUAUGAAAGUGAGCAAUAACAGGUCUGUGAUGCCCUUAGAUGUCCGGGGCCGCACGCGCGCUACACUGAAUACAGCAAUGAGUGUUCUCCUGGCCCGAGAGGGCUGGGUAACCUCUUUGAAUUGUAGCCGUGACAGGGAUCAGGGUUUGCAAUUAUUCCCUGUGAACGAGGAAUUCCCAGUAAGCGCAAGUCAUUAGCUUGUGCUGAUUACGUCCCUGCCCUUUGUACACACCGCCCGUCGCUACUACCGAUUGAAUGUUUUAGUGAGGUCUUCGGACUGGCUCUGGCGGAG